rnacentral:rRNA from 1 species
CAGUCGCCGCGGUAAUACGAAGGGUACAAGCGUUACUCGGAAUUACUGGGCGUAAAGCGUGCGUAGGUGGUGGUUUAAGUCCGUUGUGAAAGCCCUGGGCUCAACCUGGGAAUUGCAGUGGAUACUGGAUCACUAGAGUGUGGUAGAGGAUAGUGGAAUUUCCGGUGUAGCAGUGAAAAGCGUAGAGAUCGGAAGGAACAUCUGUGGCGAAGGCGACUAUCUGGGCCAACACUGACACUGAGGCACGAAAGCGUGGGGAGCAAACAGGAUUAGAUACCCGAGUAGUCCCUGUCUCUUAUAA